rnacentral:rRNA from 1 species
AGUGAACGCUGGCGGUAGGCCUAACACAUGCAAGUCGAACGGCAGCACAGGAGAGCUUGCUCUCUGGGUGGCGAGUGGCGAACGGGUGAGGAAUACAUCGGAAUCUACUUUUUCGUGGGGGAUAACGUAGGGAAACUUACGCUAAUACCGCAUACGACCUACGGGUGAAAGCAGGGGAUCUUCGGACCUUGCGCGAUUGAAUGAGCCGAUGUCGGAUUAGCUAGUUGGCGGGGUAAAGGCCCACCAAGGCGACGAUCCGUAGCUGGUCUGAGAGGAUGAUCAGCCACACUGGAACUGAGACACGGUCCAGACUCCUACGGGAGGCAGCAGUGGGGAAUAUUGGACAAUGGGCGCAAGCCUGGUCCAGCCAUACCGCGUGGGUGAAGAAGGCCUUCGGGUUGUAAAGCCCUUUUGUUGGGAAAGAAAUCCAGCUGGUUAAUACCCGGUUGGGAUGACGGUACCCAAAGAGUAAGCACCGGCUAACUUCGUGCCAGCCGCCGCAGUAA